rnacentral:tRNA from 1 species
AGACACUUAGGUUGAUACUUAAACCAAGGGCCUUCAAAGCCCUAAACAGGAGUGACUAAUCUCCUAGUCUCUG